AGAUCUCACUGAUUGCCACUGUUGUUGAUUCUAGCAGCUCCUGCUGCUUGGCUAAAUCAUGGAAUUUCCCACUGAACUCCUGCGUACUCCCACAUACUCCUCCUGGAGAAGAGUUCAGAGUUUGGCCUUGGGUUUUUAUUUUAUUGCUAUUUCUCUGUGGCUGAUCAGCACUUUGAAUUUAAAGCGACUGGGAGCACUCGAGUCCUGCUGCUAGACCUGUCUGCAAGCCCUUGCAUCUCGUGGACAGGAGUGUGAAGAAGGAGUGAAGCAUUAAAUAAGGACGUGGGUCAGCACUAGAUGAUGCAAGAAGAAGGCUGAACUUCCAGCCCAUUAGGCUCUGUGGAGCCAGGCGGCAGACAGGGUGAUGUGCUGUGUCUGCAUACCUCCCCCAGGCACUGGAGAAGAAGUGAGAUGCAAAACCCUCCCUGAAGUGGAAGGAGUUACAAGACCCUUCUCAUCUCCAAGGGAACACACUUCUGCCACAGGGGUGUCGUGGGAUGAGCUCAUGGACUGUGGGAAUCACUCCUAGAAGACAGGGCUGGCAAAAGGAGAAGGCAUUUGCAAAGGCUUCUGAAAUGUUGCCUCCCCUGGCUAAAACUGAUAGGCAAGGGCUCAGCUUACUGCUAUCUGAAGGGCACUCCCCAGUGCUGACUGUCCUGUGUGAGCCUCAUGUGUGUGUGAAACAAGGAACUUGGCUCAGUCAGGAAGGCAGAGGUUUGUCAGAGCCUGGUGUCCCACUGGAACUGCCCUCAUCCUCCAAUGUGAAGUGCUAGUCUCUUCUAUCAGCCUCGGCAGUGGGGUAGUUUAAGGGAUCGCUCCUCAUUUUUGUUGGCAUAAAGCUGGUAUCUAUUUUCCCUAUGUAAGCUGGAGUUACUGAACUGGUUUAGGUGACUGUGACUGGAGUCCCUGUGAACAGAGCGUGGGUUAUUUCUGGCACAGCUACAGUGGGAAAGUGCUCAUCCCCUCAUCUGCACUUGUUAAAUCUUUUAAUUAAAGAUCACUUUGAUGAAGGUGCAAGGCUGAGAGGUCAGGGUUUUGCCAGAGUACUCACCAGAGACCCAAGAAACAGCAGUUGUGAGUGGUAGUGGGCUUUGAGACUUGUCCUUUGGAGCUCUACUGGAAAAGAUGAAGAGGCAACAACUCCUAUGCUCUCCAUCUGUAUGGGGCAAAGUUAGACCCAAAUUCCUCUGGUUGAAGCUGAUUCACAGCUGAGCAGGAAAGCUGAUCUAGAACUGCCCCACAUAAGUGAUUUCAUGUAAGUCAUCAGACUGAUGUGUGAGGGAUCCACCAAAAGAGGGAAAUGAGUAACUUCCAAAAACACCUUGCAGAACUGGGUUCUCAGAUGAAAAUGUCUGCUAAAAUGUGUGGAACCCAGGAAGGAAAGGCUACAUUAGUGCAGCCACACAAGCACGUGGCUCCUCUGGAAAGAAUAAGAAUGCUGCAAAUUCUGAUUGUUUGCUUUGUUUGCUUGCCCAUUUUUUUUUUCCCCCUGUGGUAUUUACAGUGCCCUGGUACUCAUUGAGCUUUCCUAGCUAACAGCUAGGGAGGUAGAUGGAGCUGCCUGGAAUCCUGGCAUCAGACACAACAGGCACCUUCCUGCUUCAGGCAUCCUGCAGGUACCUUGCAGGAGGGCAGCUUGGAUGUGCUCCUGUGUUGGGAAUAAAACCCCAACAGAGCAGGGAUUCCCCAAUGCACCUGCCCCACUGACUUCUGGAUGAAGUUCCUCUCAAACCUGUGUGGCAUUCCCAGGCAUCACUCCUAUUUCCCUGGGGAAAUACUGACCCUGAUGGCAGAAUAUGGUGUGUUCAAGAUGCUGAAGACACUAAACUGCUGUUUGCUGGGGUCUCCAAACUGCCAGACUGGCUGCCAGCUUGUUAAACACACACUGAUGUGCCAUUAGGGAGCUGAAGUGUCAUCAGUGUUAUAAACCUGAACCUGUAGCUUAAUUUAAGGGCUUGUCUGACAUAUGGUAAUGGGCUGCUAAGGCGUGGUGAAAGGUGGCAUUUGCAGGCAUCUGUACAUUUUUAAUCUCUAUACAAUAAAAUAUUACACAUUAGCUUUUGCUCUUGCUGGCAGAUUUCUUGUGGGAAGAUCUACUUUGGGACUCCAGUAGCACUGAAUACUGAGCAACUGACAGAAAUAGGGAGUUUGGAGCAGUGUCUCUGCUGGCAUAACUCCAUUGCAGCCAGAGGGUGAAAUCCCAGCCCUGUUGGGAUGCACGGGACUUGUGCCAGGCUUCAACUGCUGAGAACUCUUUCAGCAGCUCAACCCUGAUUUUGCUUUGGACUGAAACCUCCCAGUGGAUCUCAGCCUAGAAACACAUGCAUCUUUCACACAGAAGAAAAAUGUUCUGCAGCAAGCAAAUGAGCUUGGAAAUGAUUUAAACUUCAUCAGUGGAACCCCUGCUGUAGACAUUCACUGCAGACUAAAUUUGGUUUGUGUGGUAAGACGCUGAGAGGCUCAGAGACACUCAUCUCCCUCAGAGAUGGAAGGGCUUCUGCUCUGGCUGCAGUCACACUUUAUUGGACGUGCUCCCUGUUACUCCUGUGAAUGGCAGGAACAAAGCUUUGGUGCUCUCAGUGUGAAUCAUUCACACAGUCAGUGCUCACCAACUUUUAAGUCUAGGAACCCCAGAUAUUGAUGAUGUAUCUCUUCU